rnacentral:rRNA from 1 species
AUAUCAAUAAGCGGAGGAAAAGAAACCAACCGGGAUUGCCCUAGUAACGGCGAGUGAAGCGGCAACAGCUCAAAUUUGAAAUCUGGCCCCAGGCCCGAAUUGUAAUUUGGAGAAGGUGCUUCGGGGGCGACGACGGCUCAAGUCCUUUGGAACUGGGCGUCAUAGAGGGUGAGAAUCCCGUAUGAGGUCGUCCGUCAAUCCCAUGUGAAGCCCUUUCGACGAGUCGAGUUGUUUGGGAAUGCAGCUCUAAAUGGGUGGUAAAUUUCAUCUAAAGCUAAAUAUCUGCUAGAGACCGAUAGCGCACAAGUAGAGUGAUCGAAAGAUGAAAAGCACUUUGAAAAGAGAGUUAAAAGUACGUGAAAUUGUUGAAAGGGAAGCGCUUGCAACCAGACUCAACGGCGGGGGCUCAACCGUUCUUUGGGACGGUGCACUCCCUCGCAGCUGGGCCAGCAUCGGUUUCGGCGGUCGGACAAAAGCCCGGGGAAAGUAGCUCUCUUCGGGGAGUGUUAUAGCCCGGGGCGUAAUGCGGCCUGCCGGGACCGAGGACCGCGCUUAGGCUAGGAUGCUGGCGUAAUGGUUGCCAGCGACCCGUCUUGAAACACGGACCAAGGAGUCGACCAAUCGCGCGAGUCUUAGGGCGUUAAACCCUGGGGCGUAGUGAAAGCGAACGUAGGUGAGAGCCUUCGGGCGCAUCAUCGACCGAUCUUGAUGUCUUCGGAUGGAUUUGAGUACGAGCACGGUCGGUCGGACCCGAAAGAUGGUGAACUAUACGAGAAUAGGGUGAAGCCAGAGGAAACUCUGGUGGAGGCUCGCAGCGGUUCUGACGUGCAAAUCGAUCGUCAAAUUUUCGUAUAGGGGCGAAAGACUAAUCGAAUCAUCUAGUAGCUGGUUCCCGUCGAAGUUUCCUC